rnacentral:rRNA from 1 species
AUUGAACGCUGGCGGCAUGCUUUACACAUGCAAGUCGAACGGUAACAGCACUUCGGUGGCUGACGAGUGGCGAACGGGUGAGUAAUACAUCGGAACGUGCCUAGUAGUGGGGGUAAACUCCUCGAAAGGGAAGCUAAUACCGCAUGAGACCUAAGGAUGAAAGCGGGGGACCUCCGGGCCUUGCGCUACUAGAGCGGCGGAUGGCAGAUUAGGUAGUUGGUGGGAUAAAAGCUUACCAAGCCGACGAUCUGUAGCUGGUCUGAGAGGACGACCAGCCACACUGGGACUGAGACACGGCCCAGACUCCUACGGGAGGCAGCAGUGGGGAAUUUUGGACAAUGGGCGCAAGCCUGAUCCAGCAAUGCCGCGUGCAGGAUGAAGGCCUUCGGGUUGUAAACUGCUUUUGUACGGAACGAAAAGCCCUCUUCUAAUACAGGAGGGUCAUGACGGUACCGUAAGAAUAAGCACCGGCUAACUACGUG